AACGAACGCUGGCGGCAGGCUUAACACAUGCAAGUCGAACGAGAUCUUCGGAUCUAGUGGCAGACGGGUGAGGAACACGUGGGAACAUCCCUUUCAGUUCGGAAUAACGUUGGGAAACUAACGCUAAUACCGGAUACGUCCUUCGGGAGAAAGAUUUAUCGCUGAAAGAUUGGCCCGCGUCUGAUUAGCUAGUUGGUGAGGUAACGGCUCACCAAGGCUACGAUCAGUAGCUGAUCUGAGAGGAUGAUCAGCCACAUUGGGACUGAGACACGGCCCAAACUCCUACGGGAGGCAGCAGUGGGGAAUCUUAGACAAUGGGGGAAACCCUGAUCUAGCCAUGCCGCGUGAUCGAUGAAGGCCUUAGGGUUGUAAAGAUCUUUCAGUGGGGAAGAUAAUGACUGUACCCACAGAAGAAGCCCCGGCUAACUCCGUGCCAGCCGCCGCCGUAA
rnacentral:rRNA from 1 species